GCACCCUGUUCUCUGUGUUGUGAUAAACGUAGGGCAAUUUACAAACCUGCUUCCGAACUGUGAGACAACUUGUGCAUCUUCUUGCAGAACACUGGGCUUCUGAAACCACACCUGCAGGACCAGAAGCAUUUUUCUAUCUAUAUAGCUGCCACAUUACCUGAACAACUGCUAAAUCUUCCCUCAAGCCAGCAGCCACAACUAGCCAGAGCUAAAGGCCUUCACCAUAUGCAGAAAAUUAUUUGCAUGCACUGACCACUGUCACUUAGAAGCAAAGCCUGAGCUAUUAAUAAUUCUUUCUUACAGACAAGCCUCUAGUGAUCCAAAAUAUCAGACCACAAAUAUAUUUCAAGUCUUUUGGAAACAGACAGAAAGAACUCAAAAACUGAUUAAACCAGAAAUUUAUCCAACAGUGAGGUAUCCAAUAUUGGUCAAGAACUGAAGCACAAGCAUUACAAGUGAACUCUAACUACAAGCACCUAACUUCUCAACAUUGCUGAAAGUUUUCUCGGUAUUGUGGUAAGUUACACAGCCUGAAUACCAGCAGAAUUAGGCAUCACAGACUGGUGUCCCAAAUGUGUUGAAAAACAUCUUUUAACAAGCUCAAGUCCAGGCACAACUUCCAAGAUACAAGCUCUCCUCAAUCGAUACAGGGACAAAAUCUCUUACAGCAAAGUAAAAUGUCUUCAACAGUGCUAUUUCACAAACACCCUGCUGCUGCCACUGGACCUUCAGGUGCUGUUUCUGCAGAGCUACUGUCUAGUCAGUGGAUGUCUAGCAGAGGGUUCUUCUGACACAGGCCAGCUGAGCUGAGAGCUGAAGCAGGACUACAGAGAAAUAAAAAGCCCCCAGGAACAAGCUGUCCAGCCAGACUGCAAUAAAGCAGGACAAAGAUCCAGGUGCUUUCAAUUUGAAUCCAUCGUACUGCACAAGCACAAACUGGCACUUACACUCAGCUACGCCUCACACUUCACUGGGCAAGCUGUUCACCUUGCUGAAGCACUUAAUAAAA